CGACGGCGAACGCGCAAACAGUGGUACGAGAGCGUUCGCGCGGUUACGCAGAGCGACGCUGACGCUCAACACAGGAACGAGUACCUAAGAGUGGCGCUCUAAGGGGAGGACAGUAUUAGCACGGGAAAGCGAAACGCGUGAUCAUCUAAUUUUCUGGCCAAACGCUUGCAGCGGGUAGGAGCCACACGCUCGAUAGGAAACAACAUCUCUCUAGGAGGGUUUGUGCCAUUCAAGGAGGUUAAAGAAAAUAACCUCCUUGGUGCCAUUGCAGAAGGUAUCAUCAUCAACACUGCCAAGAAGCAGAACAUCGCCGCAGCUAGCCCUGAAUGGUGUGACCUGGUUGGCCCGAUUGUGGUAGCUGCCUCGGUGACUGGCUGGCUGUGCGAGAGGCGACGCUGCGAAACUCGGGUCUGGUCGCACGAGCUGCUCGAAUAAAGAAGGCUUCAGAUUACGACAGGUACGUCACCGGAGCCCUGGAGCGAGUUUCCCGGUAUCCUGCCCUACUGGACGAGGUUGCCAUGGAGGCCCGUAUCGACAAAGCAGAGCUCACUGUCUUGGUGCGAGACCGCCUGAAAAGAACCGAAAGCAUGGACGGAUUUAUGCGGGCCGCCGGAGUGGUCAGGGAGCGAGUCGUUUGCCAUCCACCGCCGAGCGACGACCGUAUGCAGCUGGAUGACCUGAUCGAGGACUGCUAGAGGCAUUUGCGACGAUACCUCGUGAUUGACGAUGUCAAGGACAGCAUUUGCAAGAUCUAAAACAUCUGGGCCGUGAUCAACUUUGUCAGGGACCCAGAGAACCUGAGCUUGCUUUAACCACUGACAAAAGUAGUAUUCAGCACCCCGUGUAUGAAUAUUGUCGAUUAAAAAAUAUUUCUAUUAGAAUA